ACGACACCUCGUUUGUUCCCUGCAGCUUAGUUUCCAUAAAGCCCAUGACUGCUCCGCCCACCUAUUCACGCCCCGCCUCCUCUGACCGCAGCCAAGACUCAGCCAUCCUCAAUGGAAUGGAGAGGUGAACCUAGCUCUGAGCAGAAGUCCGACAUAGAGCACUACAGGAACAAGCUGAGGCUGAAGGCUAAGAGGAAAGGCUACUAUGACUUUCCUCAGCGGACGGCAGCGGGUGUGUAGCAGGGCGCUGGCACAAGAGCAGAGACACGGACAUGAGAGGGCACCUGGAGAGCAUGGCCCACCACUGGAGCCUGAUGAAGACCGGGCAUCCACCUACGUCAAGUCCAGCAGGAGACACUCUCAGGUGAGGCAGCGGACCUAUCGGAGCAGGCAGAGCCUGAACAGCCCGAGUACCGGAGGAACAGAGAUGGACCUGCUGGUUAUGAGGGAGAGACCCAGGAGAGGCAUCAGGAACAGCGGUACGACACUGAACCGGAGCUGAUUGAGGAGACCAACGUGGAUCGUCUGAUUGGCCCGCGGGGGGUUAUGUCUGCCCCAAGGGGUCAAAGGUCACUCAGAGACCUCCACGUUGAGCUCCCAGCCGUCCAUUGACGAGGUACGCCAGCAGAUGCACCUCCUCUUGGAGGAGGCCUUCAGCCUGGCCUCAGGGGGACACUCCUCCACAGCCGGACGCCACACCACUCCCAUCAUCCCCACCCCACCACGGUUACCACCACGGCCACUACAGCCCGGACCUCCACCCCUGCCCUACUCUGACGUGGUGACCAGUGCCCCGGGAACCAUGAGCCGUGGCCGGGGAGGAGGGCUGCAGUGGGUGCCGGCUUACGGAGCAGAGAUGUAUCAGUGCAGCCUCCCCAGACCGGCCUUUAGGUUCACCCAGCUUCCUGAUAGGUUAUGACCUCUCCUCCACCCCCUAUUCCCCCUCGCACCGGCCCCCCUCCUGGGACCUCUCUAAGACGCUCAUCGCCUGACCUGAGGUCCAAGGCCAGAUCUCAGAGUCUGGGACCAACAUGACGGACAUGCAGACCAGCAUAAUGACAGCAGCGCCCCCUAUGUCUCUCUCUCCAGAGCAGCACUCCCUUCAGUCCCCCUCUCCAGAGCAGCACUCCCUUCAGUCCCCCUCUCCAGAGCAGCACUCCCUUCAGUCCCCCUCUCCAGAGCAGCACUGCCUUCAGUCCCCCUCUCCAGAGCAGCACUCCCUUCAGUCCCCCUCUCCAGAGCAGCACUGCCUUCAGUCCCCCUCUCCAGAGCAGCACUCCCCUCA